rnacentral:rRNA from 1 species
AAAGAUGGACAUGCGGUGCAUUAGCUUGUUGGUGAGGUAACGGCUCACCAAGGCUACGAUGCAUAGGGGGUCUGAGAGGAUGAUCCCCCACACUGGUACUGAGACACGGACCAGACUCCUACGGGAGGCAGCAGUAGGGAAUAUUGGGCAAUGGACGAAAGUCUGACCCAGCCACGCCGCGUGAAGGAUGACUGCCCUAUGGGUUGUAAACUUCUUUUGUAUGGGAAGAAAAUUCCGAACGUGUUCGGAGCUGACGGUACCAUAAGAAUAAGCAUCGGCUAACUCCGUGCCAGCAGCCGCGGUAAUACGGAGGAUGCAAGCGUUGUCCGGAUUCAUUGGGUUUAAAGGUGCGUAGGCGGAGAAUUAAGUCAGUGGUGAAAGCUUACAGCUUAACUGUAAAAAUGCCAUUGAAACUGAUUUUCUUGUAGUUCGAUUGAGGUAGAUGGAUGUAUCAUGUAGCGGUGAAAUGCUUAGAUAUGAUACAGAAC